CAGGUACUCCCUCCGUCCAAAAAAGCUUGUCCCUCAAAUGGAUGUAUCUAGCACUACUUGUCCCUCAAAUGAAUGUAUCUAGCAUCAAGUUAGUGCUAGAUACAUCCAUUUGAGGGACAAGCUUUUUCGAACGGAGGGAGUAUGAU
rfam:Triticum aestivum genome assembly, contig: Triticum_aestivum_CS42_TGACv1_scaffold_435627_5DL